rnacentral:misc_RNA from 1 species
UACGUAGGCAGCAAGCGUUGUUCGGAGUUACUGGGCGUAAAGAGUGCGUAGGCGGUCCUCUAAGUUUGGUGUGAAAUCUCCCGGCUCAACUGGGAGGGUGCGCCGAAAACUGGAGGGCUCGAGUGUGGGAGAGGUAAGCGGAAUUCCUGGUGUAGCGGUGAAAUGCGUAGAUAUCAGGAGGAACACCUGUGGUGUAGACGGCUUGCUGGACCAUUACUGACGCUGAGGCACGAAAGCGUGGGUAGCAAACAGG